UUUGUUUACUGGGAGUUUGCUCUGUCUGAGUGAAGGAAUUUCCAGAUCCCUCUUCCCUGCGCAUUGUCUAUGCCCCCAGAGUCUGUUCCUGCUGCAGGAUUCACUGGAACCAAAGAAACAGUGUCCACCUCACAUCCACACACAAACAGCAGCUAUUCUUAAAUGAAUGGUUUUAAACGGAGUCUGGUUAUUACAGAAGCACAUGAGGGAAGCUGGAGCAGGUGACCAGCCCCGUGUCAGAGCACGAGCCGCUCCAGGUUGUGCAAGAGUGAAGUUAAAAAUAGGAGAUCGGAAAAUGGGCUUAGAUAAACACGAAGUGAAAUUCACUAGAAACCCCGACGACGCUUCCCUUUUGGGACUGUUCUUAUUGCAGGCAGUAGGGGCGCUGCCGCUGCACAGCUUCACUUCUGGAAGCCUCGGCUCCUGCACUGCUGCUUCUGGAUGCGUCCACCCAGGCCAAAAAUAUCCCGGCUCACCGGAUCAGCUGGGGUCAGAAUCUUGGUGUAACCUCGGAUUACACAACAGAACUGCGUUAUAAAACAUCAAAAGACCCUGCAGGACUGACCUGGACUGACUUCCAGGUAAACCCCGGUCCGAGGCGCCCUCGUGCGGCCCGCGCUGCCACUGCAGCAGGGAAACCAGCAGCUGGAAGGUACCAGUGUUAGAGCGGGACUCUCAGGCCGUGGCGUGCAGCUGAGGUUUCUUUCAGACCUGAUCAUGCAAAACAAAGAUCAACCCCCCGCGGUGGAUUUACAUACAAUAUGAAAGCCGCUUCGUGUCACAGGAGGUGCACAGAAAACUACACCAGAGAAUGUCUGAUGUCCGGUUCUAAGCACCGGCCUGUGGCUCGGCAUGGCGUCCACGCUGGGCUGACACCGUGGCGGACGUAUCCGUGGUGCUGCUGCCGCCUGCUGGAAGGCUCCGCUUCACACACCGUCUCACUGCUGCAACAUUGCAUCAGGUGAAAACUAGACGGUUUGCUUUGUAACAUUCAUUCUGUAUUUCGCACUUUAUUUUGAGUUUUAACAAUAGGAAGUGUUCUGUAAUGUUUAACAUGCCAGGGAACAAACGACCCUAUUCCUCACGUUGUUAGUUAAAAGACAACGAAUUAUAUUAGUCACGUGACUUUUAAUUCAGCCGGAGGUCGUUUAUUGAACUUUUUUAUUUAAAGGGUCUUGGGCACACUGGUCAGCGGAGAAAUACAUAGAAGGAUCAAAUGAGCUGACUGAUGAUUGAUUAAAGGGUGUAAAUCAGCAGUUGAUCGGGAUCAAACUGCAGCCUGAUGAGGCUCAUUAGGAGCCCGAUGCAGCGGCUGUUAGGGAAAGUGUGAAGUGCUGAUUGAAUAUGAACUGAUUAGAUGACCCGCUGCAGCCGUGAUGACAUCAGUCACUGAUCUCAUCGAUACCUCGGGCUUUUAACGGGAAAGCACCA